UGGGGAAUAUUGCACAAUGGGCGCAAGCCUGAUGCAGCCAUGCCGCGUGUAUGAAGAAGGCCUUCGGGUUGUAAAGUACUUUCAGCGAGGAGGAAGGCAUUAAGGUUAAUAACCUUAGUGAUUGACGUUACUCGCAGAAGAAGCACCGGCUAACUCCGUGCCAAGCAGCCGCGGUAAUACGGAGGGUGCAAGCGUUAAUCGGAAUUACUGGGCGUAAAGCGCACGCAGGCGGUCUGUUAAGUCAGAUGUGAAAUCCCCGGGCUCAACCUGGGAACUGCAUUUGAAACUGGCAGGCUUGAGUCUUGUAGAGGGGGGUAGAAUUCCAGGUGUAGCGGUGAAAUGCGUUAGAGAUCUGGAGGAAUACCGGUGGCGAAGGCGGCCCCCUGGACAAAGACUGACGCUCAGGUGCGAAAAGCGUGGGGGAGCAAACA
rnacentral:rRNA from 1 species